rnacentral:lncRNA from 1 species
AGUUCCUCCUGUGGCCGGGGCCCCAUCUGUUGGACAACCUGGAGCAGGAUUUGGAAUGGUGAGUGAUGACCUAUUCUAAAAAUUGUAAUUACAUUUCUAUGUUCUUUGCCAAAUCCCAAAUUAUCAAAUACUCCUACAGAAUAUAAUUCUCCCCAAAAUGCAGCAAACUUAAAAAGUUACCUGCUUCAGGCCUUAAGUGGCCUACCAUGUAGUUAUAAAAAUCAGUUAUAAAAUACUUAAAUUCUGCCACCAAAUUACAGUACAUUGUUAUGUCCCUUUUGGAAUAAUAUAUGCUAAUCGUAAUCUUAAUGCAAUGAAUCAAAAUCAGCCCUGAAUCACUAUACUAGGACUUUUCACUAAUCAGCAACUUUUAGGGCCAUAGAGAAACAAGUUUUUAUCUCUUCAAGAGUUAUGCUUGAAGAAGGUGAAUGAGCAGCAAGGCCUGGUUGGGAUGAGGAUGCUGUGUAGCCAUCCGGCCUGUAUCCCUGCUCAGGGACUCUCCCAUCUGACAGCCUCAACACCCAGAGGUCAAAAUAACAAAUUCCAGUUUUUCACCCACCUGGAAUCUUCAAAAAUUGUGAGAAGCAUAUAAAAAUCAUCCUUGUUGGGGUGUCACCCUGAUGACUCCACUGGGCUCUAAACAAGUCUUCCUUUUCAGCCUCCUGCUGGGACAGGCAUGCCCAUGAUGCCUCAGCAGCCAGUCAUGUUUGCACAGCCCAUGAUGAGGCCACCCUUUGGAGCCACAGCUGUACCUGGCACACAGGUCUGUCUCUUCAUGUAUACAGAUCAGUGACCUUAACCCCUAAGUAUAAGACUGUCAUGUGGUUAACUGUUUCAACGGUGUUUUUACCUAAUGUGCUUCUCAUACCUGUUGCUUCAGAAGUGAAGGAAUCAGAGAAGACAGAUUAGCAAGAGUGUGAGGUCUUGGGGGAAAGCUAACUGUCCUAAGGUCUGUUCUUCUUUUACUUAACUCAAAAUGGUACAGGAAAACAACCAGGCAUGUGAAUCAUCCAAGGCAUGCAUCCCGAGAAGUGAGUACUUCUGAUCCGUGGUUUUAUUAUGUGUUUCCAGAGUUAGCCAGAAAAGUUCAAGGCAUAGUCCUCCAGGCUGCCAACUCUGCCUAAUACUUGUGACAUCAACAGCAGUGAGUUUGCCAAACUGCAAAGUCUCAGGGAACCGUGCCAUAAGAAUCUCCUCUCUUCAAACAUCAGCCACGAGUUUGGGAAUCCCCAGGGCCACCAUCACUUCAGACUAGCUAGCUAUAAAUUUGAGGUUUUCCAUGACAAUCCUCAGAUUUGAUAAUUCUCUAGAAUGACUCCCAGAACUCAAAAAUGUGCCAAAUUUAGGAUCACAGUUUUCUUUGUAGUGAACAGAUACAAAUUAGAUGCAGCUAAAGAAAGAGAUCAUGAGUGACAUCUAUGAGAACUUCAAGCAUGAAACUUCUCUGGCCUCAGGGAUAUGUUUCUCUCCCAGCAUCAAUGUAUGACAAUACACACACAGUGUUGCAGCUCAGGAAGCUCACUCAAGCAUUAAGGUCCAGAGUUAUUGAGGCCUCAUUACAUAAAAAUGAUAGGUUGAAAAAAAAAAAGAAAAAAAGAGCGAGAUUGAGAAAGAGAAAUAUUAGAUAUGAGUUAGGUUCAAUUUCCAACCCUCCUCCUUCUGAAGAUCAGGUUGGCUUUAUGUGGUAGGUCUUUCUGGCAUGGCCCACCUCCAUGCUGAGUUAUUUUGUCAGCAUAAUCUAGGAAGAGCCCCUGGGAGUCACCUGGUUAGCAUAAUUUUAUCAGGCAGGUUGCAGGAGCCCAUCAUGAAAAGCAAAUUUUCUGUCACUCAGAAAAUCACAAAGAUUAGAGGUCACCUAGUAGGAUCCAGGACAAAGGGAAAAUGUGUCUUGAGGCAAAAUUCCUUACUAUGCCACCAUGUGCUCCCUCCGUUUACCAAGGUGUCAAAAUAUGCCCAAUAAAUGCACUUUGUUGAACUGCUGCUAAUACUCAUCGUACUGAUGAAUUAUUCUUUCUUGACUCCUCUGUUUAAUUAUCUGGCAAGGUAGAAACAUAUAUGUGGAACCAAGGAGAUCUUCACCAUUGAGAAAGUGACUUGGACAGAGUCAGCACCAAAUUAUAACUCUGGUAGCAGCACACCAAACAAACUGAACAAAAUAGCUCAAGUAGAGUUUACUGAUAUCAAUGUAUGGUUUCUUUCACUCCUAUAAUAUUUUUAAUUUAUUAAGUGGAUAUUUAUCUGUAGGAUACUUACUCUAGAAUUUCUGAGUAUACUCUAACCCCAUUUGCUUUCUUGAUCCGCAUCUAAAUCCAUCUUCUACUUGUUUCCCAAAUUUGCUUUCAACUUCUUCACUUUAAUGCCUCAAAAGCCACAGUGAUCAGGAGAAAAAAAUGGUGGUUGUUGAAAAAGACAACUUGGAAUAUGAGAAGCCCUAGCCUUCAUGGCCAUAACAACAUACUGACUUCAGGACAGGUUUUCUAGUCUGCUUGGAGACCAAGAAACCCUGCCUAGUGUUGUUUUUAUGGAGGGUAUGAGGAAGGUUUGGGACCUACUCAUGGGUUAAGUUUAACCUUGUAUGCUUAAAUUCUAAGAUGAAUCUCACUGUGGUUUCCUUGAUGGUUGAAUAGACCUGUGAAUAUUUAUCAUAUUUGAGGAAGACAGAAUGUUUCUGUUUUAAUGAACAAUGUUUUUGAAGUUGUUUUUUAGUCUUGUAUUUGGUGUGUUGAAAGCUUUAGAAAAAAAUUAAUAUAGAGAGAUAUAUGUGGAACCAAAGAGAUUUUAUUAAUAUAAUCUUAUUACUAAAAGUAAUUGUUUUUCUUGCAUAAUACCAUAUUUAGCAUCAAUUAUUUACCUAAUUUGGAAAAUAGAUGAUAUGAGAAUAUAUUGUUUUAAUCAGUAAUUGAAUUUAGAAUAAAUCAGGGAAUGGUAUAUCAGAUAAUUUUUACGUUUUCUAUUUCCAAGAAGCAUAAUAACCCCAGAGUAUAAAAUAAAAUGAGUUUGUAGCUUCAGAAUUCAUAGUAGUUUUAAUAUUAAUGAUGCCUGGACUAUCCCAAUAUUCAUUAAUUGGUUGAUAUUGAAACAUUGUCAUCUCACCUGAUUAUUAAUUGUGGACCAAUUCUACAGUUUCUUCCAAGCAAUUUCAAGGUUGGUGUUUAUUUUUUAUGAGAAUUCAAUUAAGCAUUAUCUCAGUUCUACAAAUGGAAAUUUGACAGAUAGAUAAUGCAGUAGUUUCUGGACAUAGGAACACAUCUGAAAAUCCUUAAUUCUGGAGCUCUGCUUCCUGAACCAAUAAAAACAUAUACCCUGCCCCAAAGUCCCAGAGUUCUGAAAUUCCUAUCAUCUUACAAGCAUGGGAAAUUAAUUAGAUUCAAAGGAUAGAUGUCAGGUAUUACUCUAGACAGAGUGAGUGAGAUUUUUUUAAGGUCUUUACCCUGACAUUCCUGCAGAAGCCUGCUUCCAGAAAUUAUUUCUGUCACAGAUGAAAAUCAUUUAGUUAUUGGUUCAAUAGAAGCAAAAUGAGUUAAUUCUUUUUCCUUUUACUACAAGUCCCAUAUGUUUCUUUCCUGUAAUUAUUUAGCCUUCUCUGUGAGCUGGACAGGUGGGACUGGGAUUAGAACUCAGUGGUGUUCACAAAUAGAACCCUAAAAUAAUUUAUGUGAAAUCUUAGCAUAUUUAGUUAAUAAUAUUAAGUAAUUUCAUAAGUGGCUGUCUGCAAACUUUCCUUUCAAUUUUCCUUUCAAACUGAUUGUCACUGUGAAAAAAGCCAUUUAAAUUUCUUUAUUAGUUUAGUAGUACUAAUAACUCAAAGUAAAAGUGUUUUUAUAGAAAAAAUGAUCACUUUUUGUUUGUUUGUUUGUUUUACUGUAUAUUUGUAAUAUCCUUAUGUGACUAAUUUUUUACAUCUCCCUAAUUCAUGUCCAUAUUGUUCUACCAGAGUCCCCAAAUUUUACUUUGGCUAAAUUUGAUGUCAGGAAAUUUCAAGAAAGCCAAAUAUCAUUUGAAUUGUAUUUUACCACUCCAAAAUUAAACACAACACUGUGACUAAGUAGAACAAAGUAGUUUUUUUUUUUUUUUUAACUUUUAGCCAUCUAUUCUUCUGCAUGUUUUUUUUUUUUUUUUUUCUGCAAUAUAUGUUCUGCCUAAUGCUUACCUAUCUCUCUGUUUGCUUUCUAUCUCUGCUCUUUGGGGCUGGGUUUCUCCCUAUUAGCUUUCUCCAAGCCCUACACCUGCCACUCAGAGUCCCAAGAAACCUCCAGCAAAGGACCCAUUAGCGGAUCUUAACAUCAAGGAUUUCUUGUAAACAAUUUAAGGUAUCUUCUAUUGAGAUUUUCCUGUGGACUUUUAAUAAUGAGCUAUACAGUGCUUGGCUAUUUCAGAUAUGAUAUUUGUUCUUUAUGUGUUUUGAGUGGAUGUGUAUAAUGAUAACUCAAAUGUUUCAAGUUUUAAAAUUGAUAUUAAAAGCUAUCAUUAUUAAUGAUUUUUUUAAAAAAAAUUUACUUAUAAAACUAGGAGGAAGAGACCACACCUGUAAUUAGUGGCAUAUACCUGUAAUCUCAGGAAGCUGAGGCAGGAGGAUAGAAAGCUUGAGGCCAGCCUGGGCAACUUAGCAAGACCCUGUCUCAAAAAUAAAAGAUAAUAUUUUUUUAAUGGAUGGGAGAUGUAGCUCAAUGUUACAGCACUCCUGAGUUCAGUCCCUAGUACCACAAAAGAAAGAAAAACUAGGAGGGAGAGAAACCUCCAAGUUGUCCUUAUCCUGAAAAUCACAAAGAUUAUACUGAUAAAAUACAAAAGUUGCCCAAACUUCUUGAUAAAUUAGAAGAUUAAUGCUUUAUUCCAUGACUGAAAUUAAUAGAAAGCUAAUAUUUGUAAUAUUAAUUUCUAACAAUCUAGUUUUAAGUCUCAUCAAUUUCAUUAAAAGUGACUCAUUGUGAAUUUAUGGAAGGAAGCUUAUGAAGGAAUAAUGUUUACUGUUAACCCUGCACCUAAUGGUGGGUAGGUUCUUAGCAAAUAUUUUGCUCAAUUAAACUGCUUUUCUUUUACAUAGUAUUUUUCAUAUCUACUUCCCAGUCAUUAAUAUCUUUGAACUUCUCAGUAGGAGAUGAAACUCUGUGCAGUAAACUACCCAGAAUUAAUUUUUUAUAUAGCUAGAAGAACUGAUUCUUGAUAAUUGAGUGAUUUACUCAGGGUCUGGCAAAAAGAACAGUAAGAAGGUGGAAGCUUUUGGACCACUAUCCAGUGGUACUUUCAUUAUACAUCUACUGCCUAUGUAUAUUAAAAACUCCCUCUAAUGCCUACUGAGAUUUCUGUGGAAUUCUGCUUUGUAAUCAUUUUUCUUAUAUACCAAUAGGAUUAAUAACAUGUCACUUUAAUAUCUCAGUCAAGUCAUUUCUCCUCAGGCACACUUUUCCACUUUGGAUUGGGUUGAUUAGACUUAAGUAGAUGUUGGUAUAAGUAAGACAAGGAGCACUUAUUUCAUAGCAAUUAGUUUCAGGAGUAAUCGAGAAAACAGCCUUGAGUAGCCUUUUAUCACCACUUGUUAAGUAAAUAUUGCUGUCAUCACAUGCCUGGAACUUCAGUGAGUAUCAGAAGAAGAAAUGCCUGAGAGAGUCUCUGCCCUCAGGGAUUCACAGCCCAGAGAGAGGCAGACACAGAGGAUUCUAUGAGUUCUAGCUAAGCCUUAAGACCCCAGGAAAGGUUUCUUGGCAGAAAUGACUGAUGAACAAAGUGGAAAGUGGUGUGAGAGAAGAAAUUGGGUCACCAGGGAUAGCUCCCUUCUCUCCUGUUCUGUCACUUGUUCAACUGUUCAGUGAGUGACUCAUUGAACACCAUAAUGAAAUAGAAGCAAAAAAUAAUGGAAGUCACUGCCAUUCCAAUGUUUUAUUUUCACUCUUCUAUUUUAAAGGUUAGCUAUUCUUAAUUUAUCCUGUCUUAUAAUUAAGAUUGCUAAUAAGUAUCUAAAGCUCAAGUUUCUGUUGAUGUGAUCUUUGUUUAAAAUGAAACUGUGCAUGGAAAAAUUGAUUGUUUUUAAGUUUCCUGACUGAAAUUUUAAGCUUAUUUUAAGGAACUUUGAAAAAUACAUAAAUGUGAAUGUGUUAAUAUAGAAACCUUUGGUAUAAAGCUCUUUUAUAGUAACUAUGAAGUAAAAUUGCAGAGGACAUAAAAUGUUUAAGGGAGGCAUGAUAGUCUGUUUUCUAACUGAAGUACUUUUUUCUUCACAGCUGCAAUUUUUGUGACUGAAUAGGAAAAAUAAUGAGUUUGGAGACUUCAAAUAAGAUUGAUGCUCAGAGUUUCAAAGUGAGCCACCAGUACCAAACCCAAUGCUUACUCAUAACUUCUCUUCCAAAAUGUGUAGCACAGCUGUGAAAGUGAACGUUAGGAAUGUGUACUACUUUAGCUGUUAUCCCUACUCUCAAAAUUGUAGUGUAUUUGGGUUAUUUGUGUGUUGUAUGAUGUAAACAAUGAAUGGAUGUUUCCGAUGCCUAUAGUGCUUUUCUGGACCUUGCCCAUGGAUGGAUGAUGCAGCUGUUGUAUGGUGAGCCAUUUGGAAAGAUGUGUCUGUGUUUUCGAAGGUUUCAAUGUAUAUAUAACUUUUGGACAAACCCUAAACUCUUCCCAUAAAUUCUCUUUUCUUCUGUAUCUCUGUUACAAGCGUAAUGUGAUAAUAUCUGAUAGUAAGGAAAACACUCUUAAAUAUACAAAACUUUUUUCCGUGUGAAGUACAUUUUUCCAAUCACAGAAACUUCAACUGUUGUGAGAAAUGUUUAUUUUUGUGGCACUGUAUAUGUUAAGAAAUUUUAUUUUAAAAAAUAUAAAGGUUAACGUCCAUAAUAAAUACUUCUCCUUGAAGCUACCUUAUCAAGAAUGAAAAAUCAUAUGGGAAGAAUUCCAUAUUUAUCACUGCUAUAUUAAAAUAUAUAUUUUAAUUAUAUUUGCAGGUUUUGCAUCUAAAUUGACCUAUUUAUUCAUUCUUGAUUAAAUGCACUGAAAAGUAAAGCGUCCGUUUCUAUCACGUCUGUGAAAAUGCAAUUAGAAAUGUGCUAUUUACGUGAUUAUGAAAGCACCCCAAGGUAUAUCUGUAAUUUAAAGAUUACUGCAAAUGUUUUUACUUUACUGUGGGUUUUAUGUACAUCUGUUCAUUUAGUAUUUCUUUGUGUGUUCUAUAGGCUAGUGUUUUUCCAUCCUUCAACUGAGCUCAAACUAGGUUUUGUUGUACCAUUGUGAUUAGGAUUUAAACUUAUUCAGAGAAUUGUAUCCUUUACUGUACAUACUGUAUUCUUUAAUUUUUAAUUUGUUGUCAUACUGUCUGUGCUGAUGGCUUGGCUUAAGAUUUUGAUGCACACAUGAGGUCACUGUUGAUCAGUGUUGCUAGUGGCUUGGCAGCUCUUUGUAAAAGCAUAUUGGGUUGGAAAGGCAUUUGCCUAUUUUUCAAAUUAUUUAAUAGAUGUAUGGUACCAUUUAAAAGUGGUUGUAUCUGAAUUUACUGUGGGGAUAACAUACACUGUAAUGGGGAAAAAUUACCUAAAACCAAUUUCAAAAUGGCUUUUCUUUGUAUUUUGGUUUAAAAACCCAGUGCAUGUACGCCCUCUGAGAUGCAAUAAACACCUUGAACAAAGAAAAUGCAAACAUAACCUUUCU